rnacentral:rRNA from 1 species
GAGUUGUCCUGGCUCAGGAUGAACGCUAGCGGCAGGCCUAACACAUGCAAGUCGAGGGGCAGCGGGAGUGCUUGCACUCGCCGGCGACCGGCGCACGGGUGCGGAACGCGUAUCGAAUCUGCCUCUAUCUGGGGGAUACCCCAUGGAAACGUGGAAUAAUACCCCAUAGUAUUACUUCAUCGCAUGAUUUAGUAAUUAAAGAAUUUCGGAUAGAGAUGACGAUGCGUAUCAUUAGCUAGUAGGUAAGGUAACGGCUUACCUAGGCAACGAUGAUUAGGGGUCCUGAGAGGGAGAUCCCCCACACUGGUACUGAGACACGGACCAGACUCCUACGGGAGGCAGCAGUGAGGAAUAUUGGACAAUGGUCGAAAGACUGAUCCAGCCAUGCCGCGUGCAGGAUGACUGCCCUAUGGGUUGUAAACUGCUUUUAUACGGGAAGAAAAACACCUACGUGUAGGUGACUGACGGUACCGUAAGAAUAAGGACCGGCUAACUCCGUGCCAGCAGCCGCGGUAAUACGGAGGGUCCAAGCGUUAUCCGGAAUCAUUGGGUUUAAAGGGUCCGUAGGCGGGCUAUUAAGUCAGAGGUG